CCUCGCUGAAACAGGGGCCUCCACACCCCACAUCUGACUGCCGUUCCAUCAGAAGAAGGAAAGGCCAGGAGGUGCCUGACAUCACUGCUUUGCCUUUGAUGCCCAUCAGCCAAAAGACGUUAUCCGUCUCUAAGCAUGAACAAUACAAUGAAGCUGAAUUUUCCAGGCAACCAGAGUGAGUUCUCUGAAGAGGCCACUAACCUAGAUGUUUGCCCUUGUCCUCAUACCUUGGACUCUGCCUCCCAGCUGAGUUGGACAUCCUGUCAGUCCAGGCCCAUCCUCCAUUAGCUGCCC